GAAAAUUUUCAACGGUGGAUAUCUAGGUUCCCGUGACGAUGAAGAACGCAGCGAAAUGCGAUACGCAAUGCGAAUUGCAGAAUCCGCGAGUCAUCAGAUCUUUGAACGCAAGUGGUGGA
rnacentral:rRNA from 1 species